UUCGCCCUUAGAGUUUGAUCUUGGCUCAGGACGAACGCUGGCGGCGUGCUUAACACAUGCAAGUCGAACGGAGUACCCUCGAAAGAGAUUUCGGUCAAUGGAGAGGACUACUUAGUGGCGGACGGGUGAGUAACGCGUGAGGAACCUGCCUUUCAGUGGGGGACAACAGUUGGAAACGACUGCUAAUACCGCAUAACGUACUGGUAUCGCAUGGUACUGGUACCAAAGAUUUAUCGCUGAGAGAUGGCCUCGCGUCUGAUUAGCUAGUUGGUAGGGUAACGGCCUACCAAGGCGACGAUCAGUAGCCGGACUGAGAGGUUGGCCGGCCACAUUGGGACUGAGAUACGGCCCAGACUCCUACGGGAGGCAGCAGUGGGGAAUAUUGGGCAAUGGGCGCAAGCCUGACCCAGCAACGCCGCGUGAAGGAAGAAGGCUUUCGGGUUGUAAACUUCUUUUGACAGGGAAGAGCAGAAGACGGUACCUGUCGAAUAAGCCACGGCUAACUACGUGCCAGCAGCCGCGGUAAUACGUAGGUGGCAAGCGUUGUCCGGAUUUACUGGGUGUAAAGGGCGUGUAGCCGGGCUGACAAGUCAGAUGUGAAAUCCGGGGGCUCAACCCCCGAACUGCAUUUGAAACUGUUGGUCUUGAGUAUCGGAGAGGCAGGCGGAAUUCCUAGUGUAGCGGUGAAAUGCGUAGAUAUUAGGAGGAACACCAGUGGCGAAGGCGGCCUGCUGGACGACAACUGACGGUGAGGCGCGAAAGCGUGGGGAGCAAACAGGAUUAGAUACCCUGGUAGUCCACGCUGUAAACGAUGGAUACUAGGUGUGCGGGGACUGACCCCCUGCGUGCCGCAGCUAACGCAAUAAGUAUCCCACCUGGGGAGUACGAUCGCAAGGUUGAAACUCAAAGGAAUUGACGGGGGCCCGCACAAGCGGUGGAUUAUGUGGUUUAAUUCGAUGCAACGCGAAGAACCUUACCAGGGCUUGACAUCCUACUAACGAAGUAGAGAUACAUUAGGUACCCUUCGGGGGAAGUAGAGACAGGUGGUGCAUGGUUGUCGUCAGCUCGUGUCGUGAGAUGUUGGGUUAAGUCCCGCAACGACCGCAACCCUUAUUGUUAGUUGCUACGCAAGAGCACUCUAGCGAGACUGCCGUUGACAAAACGGAGGAAGGUGGGGACGACGUCAAAUCAUCAUGCCCCUUAUGUCCUGGGCUACACACGUAAUACAAUGGCGGUCAACAGAGGGAUGCAAAACCGUGAGGUGGAGCGAACCCCUAAAAGCCGUCCCAGUUCAGAUCGCAGUCUGCAACCCGACUGCGUGAAGUCGGAAUCGCUAGUAAUCGCGGAUCAGCAUGCCGCGGUGAAUGCGUUCCCGGGCCUUGCACACACCGCCCGUCA
rnacentral:rRNA from 1 species